ACCUCUCCGCCUCCACGCGCCGAAAACAGCCACCGUUUCUCUGUCCCCACCACCACGGGCUAGCGCCAUUAAUAGCCGCCACCGGCCUUCUCGCUCCACAGUGCCCUCUCUUCUCCCUCUAUAAAAAUCUUCCUCAACAUCCAUGGUUCCAGAUCCCAGUCGGCUUGCCUCUCCCCGCGCCCCCUUCUCCUUGCUCGCGAGCUGCCGCCCGUCGUCCUCUGGUCGUCGCCAGAUAGCUGCCCCGAGCCUCCCCAUCGCUGGCGAGGAACGCCCGGAGCCCGACACCGUGCCCCCGACGACCAGACUCAGAGCACGCCCCGCCGACCUCCCCUAAUCGUUGCUGAGCUUCUGGCCUGCUCGUCGUCUUCCCUACACAAGGACCAGUUAGGAGGUAGAAGAUGACCGUGAUUCAUUCUAGCCCGUGAUUCUGUGUAAAAUUUGUUUAGAUAUUUUUCCAGUUCAAAACAAAGUGAAAAGAAGCCAUGUGAUUUUAUGUGCUAUCCCCUGUAGUCUAUAGUUAAUCGCGAUCUAAUUUAUGUAGCCAUACAUACUUUUAGUUUGUAUAUUUUUGAGUCUUAAAUCAUGUGUAUAUUGGACGAUUAAUUUAAUGUGUAUGCGAUAAGCUAUUUUUAUUAUAGUGACCUUGCUGUCUUUCGCAUUUGUAUAUUGUAAUUUGAUUAUGUCAUUAAUAAUUAAUUUAAAUAUAGUUUGUUAGAGUAAAGGAUUAAGGUAUAGGUAGACCACAUCUUCAUAACAAAAGAAUGCAAGAUAACAAUUUAUAUGUUACCUUUGCUUAUAACGUAAUUUUGAUUUUUAGUCAAAAUACACGUUUUUAUAUACCUAUUGCUUAUUCACUAAGAAAUAAUAGAAUUUCUAUUAGUGUUGAAAUGAUAUAGCCAUGAUCGUGUCUACUAUAGUCUAAAUAGUAGUUUAAUGAACUAUACUGUUGGGGACUUCGACUUCCGAAGGUUCUCAAAACAUGAUUAACAAUGUUUCCCAAGUGUAAUAUAUGUACAGGAACCUUUGGACUCGGAAUGAAGCUGUACACAAUAUGAAAAGCAUGGUCGGGACGAAGGUUGAACCAGCUCCGAAGCUACGCACAAGA
rnacentral:lncRNA from 1 species